AUUCCUACGGGAGGCAGCAGUGAGGAAUAUUGGUCAAUGGACGAAAGUCUGAACCAGCCAUGCCGCGUGCAGGAAGACGGCUCUAUGAGUUGUAAACUGCUUUUGUACAAGGGUAAACCUGAAUACGUGUAUUCAGCUGAAAGUACUGUACGAAUAAGGAUCGGCUGACUCCGUGCCAGCAGCCGCGGUAAUACGGAGGAUGCAAGCGUUAUCCGGAUUUAUUGGGUUUAAAGGGUGCGUAGGCGGAUUGAUAAGUUAGAGGUGAAAUGUCCGGGCUCAACUCGGGCACUGCCUCUAAUACUGUU
rnacentral:rRNA from 1 species